GAUGUUAACUUUGAGAUUUUGACGAUGGACGAAGUCACCCAGAUCGGGAAGAUCAGUAAGCAGUGGACAGGACUUCUUCGGGAAGUCUUCACAGAUUCAGACAACUUUGGUAUCCAGUUCCCCAUGGACCUGGACGUGAAGAUGAAGGCUACUAUGAUCGGAGCGUGUUUUCUCAUCGACUUCAUGUUCUUUGAAUCGAACAACUAGGAGCCAAACAGGAUAUUCAUGUAAUCAUUUCUGGAAAGCCAUGAUCAGAACAAAACGCCCGAACAUAGAACAACCUCUGGACCAGAUGUUUUAAGAAGGGACUACCGAAACGUACCUUAAUGUUGCAGUUUUGCAUGAACAAUGAUUUAGAAAGGUUUGUUUUAGUCUUGGCUGCUCAGGUUGUUUGUGACUAAGCUGUGAGUGCAAAGUGCAAUGCUUCUAGACAAAGCUUUAUUUGUGUGUACUACUUUCGCUUAUGUAGGCCCCGAACUACGGUGGCCUACAGGUGCAAACACCAGGUCAAGAACAUUUCCAUUGCGAGAAACGAGCUGCAGCUUCAGACCGUAGAGAAUAUUGAGUUACUACUGAAGACACUUGAAUAUUAGGAUACCGUCCUUAUAUCAGCAAAAGGGAACACCAUGCAGGCAAGAGCUGUUACACAGGGAGUACUUUAGGAGUGCUUAGCCAAACAGCACUUGUGUAAUUUGGUCAGAUCAAUAGUCAACAUGUUAAUAUAAUGCUCUUAGCUAUAUUGUGCAGUUUCUAGUGUAGAUAAGCUUUUAUUUAUUUAUUUAUAUAUUUUGGUCAUGUGUGUGUGCUCUGCUUUAUACGAUUGUAUGUGUGCUGCUAUGAGUGUGUGUAACUGAAGCAUCAUAAGCGUACUAUAAUAUUUGUAAUGCCAUCACAGUUAUGCAUUAUCAUUACUGAACGGAGGGGUUGUGGCUGUGCGCCCCGUCUUGUCCACACGAGGGAGCUAGCUUUUCAUUUUAGGAGAAUCCCUGCUUAUGCCAUAAAGUUUUUAUUGGGAAAUUAGUUGUAUUUUCUUUGGACACACUCAGGUUGGAAUGCAUGCGGCUGUGUAUUGUGAUUUUAGCUACUGCUGGCACCAGGGACACACACCUGCACCUCGUACUAUGGAUAUAAUGGAGUAAUCUUUUGGGGGGAUUUUGUUCAUCAACUCAUCAAAUAAAGGGGUAAACAUUUUUUUUUUUAAUCAAACCAUUACAGUAGUGGGAAGUAACAAAGCACUCAAGUACCAAACUUAUUUGGAUAUAAUUGGACUUAGAACUUCUACUCCACUACAGUUAUUUAAAAAUCACUUUUUACAUAUUAAAACGUGCGAUUUGCAUAAAUAAUAACACUAAUAGCACCAUUAUAUACAAAUACAAACCGGUAUUAGAAUCAUAAAUUGGCUCCAGAUUGACGUACUACAACAUUAAAAUGCCCUGACACGUAUAAUACAAAAAUAUAGGAUAACAAAUGUAUUAUUGUGAAAAGAGUUACUUCUGUACUUCUACUUAAGUAACAUGUUGAAUUUAAGACUUUCCCUUUAAUGGAGGAUCAUAUAUAUCUACUUUUAACUCUAGUGAAUGAUCUUGAUAUGAUAUAAACUAUUUUCCAACAUCACGGUCAUUAUAUGAUGUCAAUUGUGUUUCAGGGAAAUGAGAAAAAAACAUACAUUUGAAGUUAUUUUCUAAUGUUUUCUUUUUGAAUGAAGUAUAAUACACUGCCAUUUUGAAAAGCAUGUCUUUCAUAAAUGUUCUUGUGUCAUGUGUUUGAUUAUUGCCCCCCUUUAUGAGCUAAUUUUCAGUCAUCACAACUUAAGUUUUGUAUUAGAAAUCACUUUAUUCAAGUGAAUUCAGAUGAAUUUCUUGCCACCAAGAUGACCCUGAUCAUCUGUUGAAAGGGUUAAUAGUACGAGGUGCUGGUGCUGCGUCCUCUGAAGGCUCUUUGUGUUUAAAAGCCAAAAACGGGAGUUCAUCUAUUCCCACUAUGAUAUAGAAACAUAACUUAUUCUUCUACUUUUGCACUAACACUUUGAACUAAUUUGUGUAAUGUGAUGAAUGCAAACUCUGUGAGCUUAGCUUAAGUUGUGCAAAUAUAUUACAAAAUAAAAAACAUAUUGUGAC